rnacentral:rRNA from 1 species
GAUGAACGCUAGCGAUAGGCCUAACACAUGCAAGUCGAGGGGCAUCACAUGAGGCAGCAAUGCCGAUGGUGGCGACCGGCGCACGGGUGAGUAACACGUAUGCAACCUGCCUUCAACAAGGGGAUAACCCGUUGAAAAACGGACUAAUACCCUAUAAUACAGGGGUCCCGCAUGGGGAUAUUUGUUAAAGAUUGAUCGGUUGAAGAUGGGCAUGCGUUCCAUUAGCUGGUUGGUGAGGUAACGGCUCACCAAGGCAACGAUGGAUAGGGGAACUGAGAGGUUUAUCCCCCACACUGGUACUGAGACACGGACCAGACUCCUACGGGAGCAGCAGUGAGGAAUAUUGGUCAAUGGACGCAAGUCUGAACCAGCCACGUCGCGUGAAGGAAGACGGCCCUACGGGUUGUAAACUUCUUUUGUAAGGGAAUAAAGUGUAGUACGCGUACUAUUUUGCAUGUACCUUACGAAUAGGAUCGGCUAACUCCGUGCCAGCAGCCGC